rnacentral:lncRNA from 1 species
CAGGGUCCGAGGUGGAGUGAAUCUGGGAGAAGGGAGCAAAAGGCUUGCUCUAAACAGAAGCCACAGCACAAAGCAGUGCCCAGGCAGCAUGUUCAACCUGUGACUGGGCUCCAGAGCAGCUUCUGAUGAUUCAGAUGUUGUCUGGAAGGCCGUGGAGAAGAAUGGAGAAUUUGACAAGGUUGUGCUAUCAGAAACUACUCCGAGUAAUUUCCCUGAAAUAUUUGCAGGAUCUGAUCUACAUUGUAUUCAGCAGCUGGUUUGUCUGA